UAUGAAUAAUUCUUUCAGGAAGAUAAUUUUACCACAGAGGUCAGUACUGAGGAAGGAAGGUACCAUUAUUAUAGUGUGCAGGGACCCCCAGGACCUAGAGGCUACCAAGGGCCCCCAGGACCUCCAGGACCAAAAGGAGAUAAGGGUGAUAUUGGUAGAGAUGGAUAUCCUGGAACUUCAGGUUUACCUGGCCCCCCAGGCCAUAUUUUCAUGAUACC
rnacentral:lncRNA from 1 species